UCCAAAUGUUGAGUCUUACAACUCAUAAUGAAAGCAUUUCCUCCUCGCAGUGUCCUGCAGGAGAGGCCGUGCUCAAUGAGGUGCAGCUGCCUUGUCAGCGCUGUGCCAAUGCGGUGGGAGGGAAACAAGGAGGACGCCAGAUGGCAAUAACACUUAGUGCUCUUCACUGAAGAUACCUUUCGAAUAAGUCUCUAAGUGCAGCAUUAAAGAAGUGGUGACUAAUUGAGGCCUGACGAGCCAAGUUCAGUUCAAAAGUAGUGAUUAAUAAUGAAUCAGCCAAUAACUGACUGCCUCAGAACGAGUCACCAAGUGCUGUAUUUGAUUAGAAAUUUAAAAAAAUACUCCCAUCACUGAAGUGAUAUGUAUUUUUACAGUGUUACAGUAAUUUGAGUAGCGUCCAGCUAACAAGAGUGGUUGGCAUGCGGCGAGCGGCGUGGGCCAGGAAACAGCUGAUGAUGAAGGAUUAGGGUCGGCCCAGUGGAAUGGAGCCGACCGAGGAGUUCGUACAUACCAGGAGUCUGAUACCCGCUGAGAAACAUCCUAAAAGUUUUCACAGGGUUUGGUGGCUGCACACGAUGUCUCGAUGGUACUAAACUGCAAAUAAAAUGAAGCACCCAUCUGAAAACUGAGGGACAGCCACAGCCUGGUUUCCUUUGCCACCUAGGAUGAGGCUGCCACCACCACGUUUUUCCAGGAACUUACCAGGCUUUUAAUCUUCCAUCUUGCCACUUAUCCUACAUGACACAGUCAUUAUAAAGAACUGUGUACAACACAAAACAGGCAGAAAUUCCUGCAGCUCUUUUACCGUUGCUUACACUUUUUGGCAGUGUCCUUCAUCAGUUCUCCUCUGGUCUAUUCAUGAAUUUGGGAGGCAUGUCCAUUUCUAAGUGAGGCUCCGGUAACAUCUUAUCUUCACUUGUUGAUGACACUCUUUUCUAUGUACCACAGCAUAUACAAAGUCCUGAAAGCUCACUAUACAUUUUGCCUGACUGAG